rnacentral:rRNA from 1 species
UUUGAUCAUGGCUCGAGGACGAACGCUGGCGGCGUGCCUAACACAUGCAAGUCGAACGGGGUGAGAUCCUUCGGGAUUUCACUUAGUGGCGAACGGGUGAGUAACGCGUGAGAAACCUGCCUCUCAGUGGGGGACAACAGUUGGAAACGACUGCUAAUACCGCAUAACACUUUAGUACCGCAUGGUACAGAAGUCAAAGCUUUAUGUGCUGAGAGAUGGUCUCGCGUCUGAUUAGCUAGAUGGCGGGGUAACGGCCCACCAUGGCGACGAUCAGUAGCCGGUCUGAGAGGAUGAACGGCCACAUUGGGACUGAGAUACGGCCCAGACUCCUACGGGAGGCAGCAGUGGGGAAUAUUGGGCAAUGGGGGAAACCCUGACCCAGCAACGCCGCGUGAAGGAAGAAGGCCCUCGGGUUGUAAACUUCUUUUAGCAGGGACGAAGAACGUGACGGUACCUGCAGAAAAAGCAACGGCUAACUACGUG